rnacentral:rRNA from 1 species
AGCAGUCGCCGCGGGAAUACAGAGGGUGCAAGCGUUAAUCGGAAUUACUGGGCGUAAAGCGCGCGUAGGUGGUUUGUUAAGUUGGAUGUGAAAUCCCCGGGCUCAACCUGGGAACUGCAUCCAAAACUGGCAGGCUAGAGUAGGGCAGAGGGUGGUGGAAUUUCCUGUGUAGCGGUGAAAUGCGUAGAUAUAGGAAGGAACACCAGUGGCGAAGGCGACCACCUGGGCUCAUACUGACACUGAGGUGCGAAAGCGUGGGGAGCAAACAGGAUUAGAUACCCGCGUAGUCCAUGUCUCUUAUAC